rnacentral:rRNA from 1 species
AAAAUGAUCGGGGGAAUGUAGCUUCGGUCUCGUAUCGGAGUGUUAUAGCCUUGGUAGAUGUGACGAUUGGGAUCGAGGAUUGCAACGAAUACCCUUUUGGGCUAUCCUCUGUCCUCUGAAAGUCGCUCGGGGGUUGAAAGCGUGCUUAUGAUCAUUCGAGUUGGCGUCAACAGGAUAGAACGUGAUUAUAUUCGUUAAGGAUGUUGACGUAAUGGCUUUAAACGA